UGCAGUUGUCGAUACCCACCUUUUAUUAUUGGGAAAUGAAUAUUUUUCAAAUGAUUAAAAUUGUUAUAUUUUCAGAGCAGUUCAGAAGUUUAUUAAGAACUCCAACAAAUCUUAAUCAGCCCUAUAUAUCAUAUGUUUUAGAUAUGCUUUGCAUUUUAUGGCUGAUUAUGUACUUACAUGAACCUAUACAUAUAUUGUAUAUCAUCGUAAUAGCCGUGUUUCGAGUUACUCCGGAACACAGUGUUUAUUCUGUGUUUAGUCACGCCGCGUCAAAAAUGUUCCACAGGGUUACUUCCGGUUUAUCGUUGUUUACCUACCAACAGUCGACACUUCGUGUAUUAGGCCUAGGCUUAAUUUUGUCGAUCAUCAUGAAAUUGAAAUACACAUUUAAUAGUUUGGGGUGUAUGCGGUACAUAUUUGUUUAUGAGCGUUUGAUAAGCUACUAUUGAUCUACGAAAUACAACGAAAGACUUCGUCAAGAACAGAAGAAGACGAUGCAUGUCGUGUAAGGCCCAGCUGUCUAGUAACCGGAGGGGUAAAGGAAAAGAACGUAUUAGACUCACUGAAACCUGUCAAACAGGUAUAUGGGAACAGGAUCAUUUUCCAUGCCUUUCACCUGAGGUCUUCAGUUUCAUCAUUAAUCAUCUGAAUGUCGGUAUGCCAAACUCUCAUGAUGUCAUGCCAUUACUGGAUAUUCCUUAACACUGGUUUAUUUAAGCCACACUACCUAUAACAUUACCAAAAUAUUAGACUGAAAAUUUUCAAAUACACAAGAUUUGAAGCAGCAAUAGAAAAGAAUUACAUAUGUAUAACACACAAAAAAGAAGAAAUUAAUUCUCACCUGGCUGAUAUGAACUUUUUACUCCUUUUUAGCUCCCUUUCACUGCAUACCAGCCAAUAACUAGCAGUUAUUAUAUGCAGAUCAGCCAUUGUUAUCAACCUGUGUAUAUAUAUGUUGAAUGAAAUAUGAAUGAAAA